UCGUCCCCUUCGGCGCCGGAUGCGGAGCCCCUCCUCCCUGCACCUCCAGGCAGAGCAGGCCGGCCUAGGGGCGGCAAGGCCAAAGCUGCCGGCGGCGGAGCUGGGGCCUGGGAUUGAGAUGGGUGGCUGUGGACGGCGACGCGGAGAAUGACGUCGCGACCUCCCCGCCAGCACCACCCUCCUCCGGCCCUAAGGCGAACCUGACUUUGUCGCUCCCAGCGCCGCCCGGAGGAUG
rnacentral:lncRNA from 1 species